rfam:Clostridium sp. CAG:58 genomic scaffold, scf185
CAAUAGGAUAGAGGCGCGGGCUUCAAGAGUAACGGAAGACAAGGCUGGACCGCCGUUUUCCGCCAAAGGGGAGACCGCCGAAGGAGUUUUGUCCGGUCCGGGGCAGGGUUCCUGGUACGACGCAGAAGAUGCGGCGUACUGUCACGAUACGUGGAGCGCUAUCUUGUGU